UUUGAUCUCAUUUGACCCUCUGUAAACCAAAUUGCUAGGUAAACGAAUGCGUUGGCGAAGACGGUUCGGCAAUCCGACGAGCCGUUACAAAGUUAUUAAAGAAAUGGACGUUUAGGCUUCGGGUCCGCCGGGAGGGCCGAGGCGACGUCGUAAAAUCAUGGAAAUGGAUUUGAGGCAUCGUGGCACAUAACCGAAGACCUAUAAUUUUCGGGGCUACGAAGCGGAGCACAGUUGAGGCGCAGUUGCAGUAUCGGGCCGUGCCGGAUACGGGUGCCGCGGGAGGCCGAUUGCAAGUGUCGACAAGCAAUCGGAACGCAAAUUAAGGUGGGUUGGUUUACCGAAGCGACUAGGUCGCCUUUAUGUCUAAGAAAAUAUGAUUUCUUAUGAUGCAUAUAGAAAUGAAUGAUAAUGAAUGCAAGCUGAUAAAUGCAUGUUGAUAAAUGCUAGAGAGCAUGCGAAAUAAAGUAUAAAUGCUAAGUUGAUGCAUGUAAAUGAUAUAGAGAUUAUAAAAUGCAUGUUGGUAAAUAAUAUAAAUGAUGCAUGUUAACGAUAGUGCUUAGAGCAAGAUGCUAAGUAGAAAGCAUGAUGUUGAUAACAUGAUACAAACGCCAAGUAGAAUGCAUGAGAUAAGAAUGCUAGAGUAUAAUGAUAAGCAUGAUAUGGAAAUAGUAAAUACAAGUACAUGUUAAGAAUGCUAAGUAAUGCAUAGUGACAUAGUGUAAAUCAUGCUAAGUGACAAGCAUAAAGUAUAUAAUACGUGGUGGCCGUGUUGCAUGCAUAGAAAGGUUAAUGUAAGAAUGCUAAAGAUAAUGUAUGAAUGCAUGUUGCAUGUUAAAGAAUGCCCAGUAAAGGACUUGUGUAUAUGGACUUAAGUGCACCUAUAGAUCGAGUAGCAUUGAAUCUAGUGUCGAGGACAUAGGUUAAACAGAUGUGAUUUGAACCUAAUGUAAAGAACAUAGGUUAAAUAAGAAUGAUGUUAAACCUAAUGUAGAGAACACAGGUCGUGAAAUGAAAGGUGCUUAACCUAGAGUCAAGUGAACCUAGGUUGGAAAGAAUGAUGAUCCUAGUGUAAUAAACCUAGGUUAAGAAUGUGAAAGCAAUAAACCUAAAGUAUUAACUUAGGUUGUGUAAUGGACAAAGAACCUAGAGUCAAGUAGACCUAGGAUGUAAAGGACAAUGGACCUAAGUAGGUCGAUACCAUAGGGUUGUGACUAACCCUCGAGUUACGUGAAAUGGAUUCCGGAAUCCCAAAGCUUGUUGAUAUACCUAGAGUGGUAUCGGGUGUGUGCGACGAUUUCGCCGCCCAAGGGCUAAAGAACCAUUGUCGUGGCGUGUGCGACGAUUUCGCCGCCGGAUGGUUAGCCAGUUUGUGGAUCCUACCACCUGUUGACUGAACCACUGUCGUGGCGUUUGUGCGACGAUUUCGCCGCCGGGUGGCUAAGUCAUGGACCUAGGCCGUUGUUGGGUGAGGUGCGAUUCGUUCGCCGCCAGACGGCUAGGACAGGAGUACGGUGAGCUGUUGCCAGCUGAGGUGCAUGUGAGAGUUCCUUCACCUCGAGCUAGACAGUGCGCGGACUAUCCGCGAUUGAUUGACUCAAGACCGAGUCGGGUGGCAUAGAGAACUAAGGUAAGGGAAACCUUAGGAAAGAAUGGCCAGUGGAAAAGUGCAACAAAGUGUAGAGAAUAAAGAAUAAGUAAAGAAUAAAGAUCGGCUAAGGAAUAAGAAUAGCUGAUAAAGUAAAGAAAGGUUACAAGUAAAGAAUAGCUAAGAGCUAAAAGUAAACAUUAAACGACAAGAGUAAAGAAUGAUUAAGAAUAUAAUUAGCGUUAAAGUAACCUACUUGCAUGAUUACGGGUAUUGCAUAUUGCAUUUCGUGAGGCAUGGCAUGUAUUUCAAUUGAAUAUAUAUAUCUGUUGUAUAUUGUUGAACUAACAUGUUGCAGUGCCUUGUUAGACCUGUUGGUUGAGCUGGUUCUCUUGGGUGGCUAAACCCACUGAGGACUAUGGACAAUAGUCUCACUCCCGUGUUGCUGUUUUGGGGGUACAGGUACACACGUGUGCGGCGCGGCGGCGCAAGGCGAGGGCGUAGUUCUGCAGAUAGCGCCCUACCCCAGAGACCAGAGCUAGCAGUACCCCGUCUACAUAGCUUAGGGGUAAAGAAAAUGAAAAGAACACAAUGUGUCAAUUUGUAAUAAAUAAGUAUUGUAAUAACUUAGAUUGUAUUUGGAGGAAUCAAAUGAGAACUAUGAUGUAGAAAUGUAUGAAUGUGAAUGUAUGUAAUAACAUAGGAUGUGUUUAUGUUGUAUGAUACCUUCCAC
rnacentral:lncRNA from 1 species